AAGCUCUGGUCUCCCUUCAGUUAACGUAUUAAUCUUUCGCCUUUUACUAAAGAUUACCGUGGAGGGUGACACACAAUAUGAGCCUUUAGCGAAUUUUUGCACCCCCCUCUGGGGGGU
rfam:Tetranychus urticae London genomic scaffold, scaffold_4